rnacentral:rRNA from 1 species
UGAGGGAAAGGUGAAAAGCACCCCGGAAGGGGAGUGAAAUAGAUCCUGAAACCGUGUGCCUACAACAAGUCAAAGCUCGUUAAUGAGUGAUGGCGUGCCUUUUGUAGAAUGAACCGGCGAGUUACGAUUGCAUGCGAGGUUAAGUCGAAGAGACGGAGCCGCAGCGAAAGCGAGUCUGAAUAGGGCGAAUGAGUAUGUAGUCGUAGACCCGAAACCAUGUGAUCUACCCAUGUCCAGGUUGAAGGUGCGGUAAAACGCACUGGAGGACCGAACCCACGUACGUUGAAAAGUGCGGGGAUGAGGUGUGGGUAGCGGAGAAAUUCCAAACGAACUUGGAGAUAGCUGGUUCUCUCCGAAAUAGCUUUAGGGCUAGCCUCGGAAUUGAGAAUGA